GACGAACGCUGGCGGCGUGCCUAAUACAUGCAAGUCGAACGAGUGGCGCACGGGAGAGUAAUGUCUGGGAAAAUGCCUGAUGGAGGGGGAAAACUACUGGAAACGGUAGCUAAUACCGCAUACCAUCAGAUGUGCACAGAUGGGAUUAGCUAGUAGGUGGGGUAAUGGCUAACCUAGGCGACGAUCCCUAGCUGGUCUGAGAGGAUGAACAGCCCAACUGGAACUGAGACACGGGCCUGACUCCUGCGGGGGGCAGCAGGGUGGAAUAUUGCACGAUGGGCGCAAGCCUGAUGCAGCCAUGCCGCGUGUGUGAAGAAGGCCUUCGGGUUGUAAAGCACUUUCAGCGAUGAGGCGUUACUCGCAGAAGAAGCACCGGCUAACUCCGUGCCAGCAGCCGCGGUAAUUC
rnacentral:rRNA from 1 species